GGUCUGGUAGCACAACUGGUUAGUGCUUCUGCAACAAGUGUUUCGUCCAUGGUGUGAUUCUGCAGAAGAUCCCUGUUCGAUUCGGGGUCAGAUCA